rnacentral:misc_RNA from 1 species
GUUGGAAAGAUGCAGCUAAUCUGCUUGUCUUUAAAAGAUUUUUAGCUAGUGCUUCUUUGUUACUUUUUCUUCACAAACUCUGUUUGGUCUGUAAUCGUUGGGAUGCAUCAUAGGAUGGUGCUUUGCUUUCAAUUCUGUUGUCAAUUACAAAUGCUAGACAGUUUGCAUCAACAUGACACCUAAUAUCCCAAAAUUUUAUUGCUUGCCAAUUGGUGUGUUGUGUUUAUUUUCUUAUAGCACAAAGGAGUUUCAAG